rnacentral:rRNA from 1 species
GUCUAUGGCCAUGCCACCCUGAACGUGCCUGAUCUCAUCUAAUCUCGGAAGCUAAGCAGGAUCGAGCCUGGUUAGUACUUGGAUGGGAGACCACCUAGGAAAAUCAGGUGCUGUAGGUG